CCUGCAGGGCGCGGGCCACCCCCAGGCUGAACUGCUCUCUCACACGAGAAUCGCUUCAGCCCAGGAGGUAGAGGUUGCAGUGAGCCGAGAUCGUGCCAUUGCACUCCCGCCUGGCAACAACAGCAAAACUCCGUCUCAAAAAAAAAAAAAGAAAAGAAAAGAAAGAAAGCAGCUCUCGCUGCCAGCUGGCCACAGACACUGGGGCCUGAGAUGGACCAAGUCCCACUGCACUCCACCCUGGGUGACAGAGCGAGACUGUCUCAAAACACACACACACACACACACACACACACACACACACACACACACACACACACACAAAACACCUGUUUCUCUGCGGGCAUCUGCUGCCUCUUGCAGCCUGACCGUAAUGCACUAUGAUACCCGCAGAGGCUCUUAGUUUCCUUUUUCUUUUUUCAAAAUGUGUCUCCUCAUAGCCCAUGCAGCACCAGGAGCGAGGGAGAGAAGGAAGAAAGCGGCCGAGGGGCACUGAACCCAUCCCUCCACAGCACACCCUUCACAGUGGUCUGUGCUGUCACUCCCUGGGUGUUCGUCUGCCUGAUGAGGCUGGCAGCUCCCAGAACGCACUGGUGGGGGUUCAUUCAUUCUGGG
rnacentral:lncRNA from 1 species